rnacentral:misc_RNA from 1 species
GAACGCACAUUGCGCCCCUUGGUAUUCCGGGGGGCAUGCCUCUUCCAGCGUCAUUUCACCACUCCCGCUCCGCGGGGUCUUGGGCCACGCCGGCAACGGCGGGCCUCGAAAACAGUGGCGGCGCCAUCGUGCUCUCAGCGUAGUAAUUCUUCUCGCUGUUGGGUUCCGGUGGUCGCCCGCCAGCAACCCCCAACUUUUUAAGUUUGACCUGGGAUGAGGUAGGGAUACCCGCUGAACUUAAG